GAAGACGAGGAGAACAAGGUGGACGAGGAGGACGAGGAUUUGUGCUCGUAUUGGACGUAUGACCAGAGGUGGUUAGCGGUGGUCGUUGGAGGUUGUUGGCAGUAGUUGCGGUGAUGAAGGUGCACAAGGAAAAGCACGACGAUUACGAGGACUUGUGCACUAUCUGUGCCCCACCUAGUGAUCCACUAGUACAUAUCCUCCGAUGUGACAUCGCUCCGCUACGUAUGCAGAAGAAAAGAUUUAUUAAGAUGCAGAUUGCUCCUCUCUUCUUGCCAUUGUGCUUUCAGCCAUUGUUGUGGUGUGUGUUUAAAAUUAAGGACAGUAUAUAAUAUAGAAUAACAGGUACAUCUACGAAUAUAGCACUGCAAUAAAUCUUAUAUAAAUGAGCUCUCACUGAGAUUUCUCUGUAUUUAUAACUCGACGCGAGAAGGCAAAAAUCAAUGUAAUGCCAUCUGUAAGGUAAUUGGACUCGUAUUUGCACUACGAGAACUCGUUGGGAAUUUUGCGGUGAAGUUUGAA